UCCGUAGGGUGCAAGCGUUGUCCGGAAUUAUUGGGCGUAAAGAGUUUGUAGGCGGUUUGUCGCGUCUGCUGUGAAAUUUCGGGGCUCAACCCCGAACUUGCAGUGGGUACGGGCAGACUAGAGUGUGGUAGGGGAGACUGGAAUUCCUGGUGUAGCGGUGAAAUGCGCAGAUAUCAGGAGGAACACCGAUGGCGAAGGCAGGUCUCUGGGCCAUAACUGACGCUGAGAAGCGAAAGCAUGGGGAGCGAACAGG
rnacentral:rRNA from 1 species